rnacentral:lncRNA from 1 species
CCUUCUGCCAUACAAAGGCACAGCAACAAAGCACCAUAUUGGAAGUUGAGAGCAGCCCUCACCAAUGUCUGUACCGUGAUCUUUGCCUUCCUAGCCUCCACAACUGGUCUGCAAUACUUGAAAUGAAGGUAUCAGCUGGGCUGUGUUCUUAUCUGGAAGCCAGACUAGAGAAGGAUCCAUUUCUCCAGCCUGAAAUGUUCCAUUUGUUGAAGUAUUACGAAAGAGAGCUCUGAUCAAGAGGAAGAGACUUCAAACUAUGAAAUUUGAAACAGAAAUAUCAAAAAUUUUCACUGACUGAACUGUAUCUCUGGAGAGAUUUCAGGAGUCCUUUGAAGGAACCUGCCAGAAAGAGGAAAAUACUUGACCAGUAUAACCUCAAAAGGUCUUUGCUCUGUCACCCAGGCUGGAGUGCAGUGACGUGAUCUCUGCCCAAUGCAACCUCCACCUCCCGGGUUCAAGUGAUUCUCGUCCCUCAGCUACCCAAGCAGCUGGAAAUACAGGCAUCAGCCACCAUGCCCAGAUUUAGAAGUUGGAAAGUCCAAAGUCAAGGAGCUGGCCAAUUCAAUUUUUGAAAGUAAUAUAUAGACUCAAGUGAUUUUCAGAAAAUAAAAAUAGAGUAUUCUGGAGGAUGCUUCAUCAAUUGGUUCACAAAUUUACCUGGAAUUAGAAAGGCCUAAGUAAAGCAAAGACAUUCAGGAAAAACAUGAAAAGGUUUCUUAACUAGAAAUACAUAUUUUGACAUAACGGAAUCAACCUAGAUGCCCAUCAACAGUGGAUUGGAUAAAGAAAAUGUGGUACACAUACGCCUUGGACUACUACACAGCAGCAAUGUGGAUGGAUCUGGAGGCCAUUAUCCUAAGCAGGAACAGAAAACCAAAUACCACAUGUUCUCACUUACAGGUGAGAACGAAAAAUUGAGUACACAUGGACAUAAAUAUGGGAACAAUAGACAUUGGGGACUUCUAGAGGGGAGAGGGAGAAAGGUAGGCAUGGGCUGAAAAACUAUUGGGUACUCUGAUUGCUACUCUGGUGACAAGGUAAUGGGCACCCCAAACCUCAGUAUCAUGCAAUAGACCUAUGUAACAAACCUGCACAUGUACCCUCUGAAUCCAAAAUAAAAAUUUUUUAAAUUGUAUUUCCUUGAAAAAAAAUAAUAUGGUAACCACCUGAUGGGUUCAUCUUGCCUGCUGCUCAGAUAGAGCUGAUUUAUCCAGACAG